rnacentral:rRNA from 1 species
AUUGAACGCUGGCGGCAGGCCUAACACAUGCAAGUCGAACGAGUGGCGGACGGGUGAGUUGUGUCUGAAAAACUGCCCGAGGGGGGGGGAUCAAUAGUGGAAACGGGCGAUAAUACCGCAUAACAUGAGGUGUGCCCAGGGGGGAUUAGCUAGUAGGUGGGGUAACGGCUCACCUAGGCGACGAUCCCUAGCUGGUCUGAGAGGAUGACCAGCCACACUGGAACUGAGACACGGUCCAGACUCCUACGGGAGGAAGCAGUGGGGAAUAUUGCACAAUGGGCGCAAGCCUGAUGCAGCCAUGCCGCGUGUAUGAAGAAGGCCUUCGGGUUGUAAAGUACUUUCAGCGAGGAGGCGUUACUCGCAGAAGAAGCACCGGCUAACUCCGUGCCAGCAGCCGCGGUAAUAC